UCCACUUUGUACUCGUCAGCGAGAAGUGGCUUCUGCUGGACGUAACAAAGGAGAGAGAGGGAGAUGGUAAAGAGAUGUGGUUCCCGAAACGACAAAUCUGACUGAUGUUGCUGAUCCAGCCGUUCAUCUCCUCCUCCGUGUUGGCCACCAGGUCGAUGGUUCGGAUCGGCUUCUUGGAGUUCUUGCUCUGGUAGUAUUCCAGCACAUCUGGGUUGCCACACAUUCUCCCCGACCGGAGCACGAACCAGCGCUUCCGCCACGCCUGCAGCAAGCGGAACCUCAGCUCCAGUUUCCCAGAAGUGCUGAGAAGAGGAAGUUGACUGUAUUUAGCAGAAACACAACGAAAGGGGAAAUGGGUCGACCCACAGCACAUUUGGUGCUAAUAACCCUGCCGGCUUUCAGAGGAAACCAUAACUACAGAUGGCAGUUUGAUCCAGCGGGUGUUCACCAUAUGCAAAGUUCUGAGCCCGGGUGAAAACAAGUUGUUGUUUUUUUAUACCGAGGUCAAUCUCUAUAUAUCAGAUGCAAAGGCAAUCUAUAUAUAUUUACAGAGAAAUAGAGAAGAUAUCUGUUGAUAUAUUUGAAACAUGUGA